UAGGGAAUAUUGGGCAAUGGAGGGAACUCUGACCCAGCCAUGCCGCGUGCAGGAUGAAGGCGUUAUGCGUUGUAAACUGCUUUUUAUAUAGGAAGAAAUAGUCCUUGCGAGGAAAGUUGACGGUACUAUAUGAAUAAGCACCGGCUAACUCCGUGCCAGCAGCCGCGGUAAUACGGAGGGUGCAAGCGCUGUCCGGAUUUAUUGGGUUUAAAGGGUGCGUAGGCGGUUUAUUAAGUCAGUGGUGAAAGACGGUCGCUCAACGAUUGCAGUGCCAUUGAUACUGGUAGACUUGAGUAUGAUUGAGGUAGCUGGAAUGGAUAGUGUAGCGGUGAAAUGCAUAGAUAUUAUCCAGAACACCAAUUGCGUAGGCAAGUUACUAAGUCAUAACUGACGCUGAGGCACGAAAGUGUGGGUAUCAAACAGGAUUAGAUACCCAAGUAGUCCUGAGCGGGCUGGCAAGGCGCAU
rnacentral:rRNA from 1 species